CUAUUGAAGAAUGAACCGGCGAGUUAAUUUCAGAGGCGAGGUUAAGCGGGAGACGCGGAGCCGAAGCGAGAGCGAGUCUGAAUAGGGCGCAAGUCUCUGGGAUUAGACCCGAAACCACAGUGAUCUAUGCAUGGCCAGGUUGAAGCUCAGGUAAAAAUGAGUGGAGGACCGAACCCGUGAGUGUUGAAAAACUUUGGGAUGAGCUGUGCAUAGGGGUGAAAUGCCAAUCGAACGUGGAGAUAGCUGGUUCUCCCCGAAAUAGCUUUAGGGCUAGCCUCAGGUAACACAUGGAGACGGUAGAGCACUGAUCGGGUAAGGGAGCGUAAAGCUUACCGAGCCUAGUCAAACUGCGAAUGGCUUCAUGAGAAGAGCCUGGGAGUCAGAAUGCGAGUGAUAAGACCCGUAUUCAAAAGGGAAACAGCCCAGACCGCCGACUAAGGUCCCAAAUGCUGUACUAAGUGGAAAAGGAUGUAGGACUUCCAAAACAACCAGGAUGUUGGCUCAGAAGCAGCCACCAUUCAAAGAGUGCGUAAUAGCUCACUGGUCGAGAGGCCCUGCGCCGAAAAUAUCCGGGGCUCAAGUACAGAACCGAAGUCGCGGGAUGCGCAAGCAUCGGUAGGGGAGCGUUCCAAGCAGGUUGAAGGCAGACCGGAAGGACGGCUGGACAGCUUGGAAGUGAGAAUGCUGGUAUGAGUAGCGAAACGAUCCGUGAGAAUCGGAUCCACCGAAAGCCUAAGGGAUCCUGAGCAACGCUCGUCGUCUCAGGGUAAGUCGGGACCUAAGCCGAGGCAUAAAGCAUAGGCGAUGGACAACAGGCGAAAAUUCCUGUACUGCAUGAUGUUGUUUGAGGAUGGAGUGACACAGCAAGGAGCUUGAGCGCGCGAUUGGAAAUGCGCGUCGAAGGCGGUAGGCUGGUGCAGAGGCAAAUCCCUGUACUAAGGCCGAGAACUGAUAGAUAGACAAUCCCUUCGGGGAACGUCAAAUUCAAGCGUACUACACUGUCGAGAAAAGCUUCUAACGAGACAUCAUGUACCCGUACCAAAACCGACACAGGUAGGCGGGGAGAGAAUCCUAAGGUGCGCGGGAAAACCCUCGUUAAGGAACUCGGCAAAAUGCCUCCGUAACUUCGGGAAAAGGAGGACUCAUGUAGUGUGAAGAGCAGAAGCGCUUGGAGCAUGAAUGAGUGGCACAAGAGAGGCGCAAGCGACUGUUUACCACAAACACAGGUGCCUGCUAAAGCGAAAGCUGAUGUAUAGGUGCUGACACCUGCCCGGUGCUGGAAGGUUAAGAGGAGGGGUUAGACUUCGGUCGAAGCUCUGAAUUGAAGCCCCAGUAAACGGCGGCCGUAACUAUAACGGUCCUAAGGUAGCGAAAUUCCUUGUCGGGUAAGUUCC
rnacentral:rRNA from 1 species